GACGAACGCUGGCGGCGUGCUUAACACAUGCAAGUCGAGCGGUAAGGCCCUUUCGGGGGUACACGAGCGGCGAACGGGUGAGUAACACGUGGGUGACCUGCCCUCAGCUCUGGGAUAAGCCUGGGAAACCGGGUCUAAUACCGGAUAUGACUCCAUGACGCAUGUUGUGGGGUGGAAAGCCUUGUGCGGCUGAGGAUGGGCCCGCGGCCUAUCAGCUUGUUGGUGGGGUGAUGGCCUACCAAGGCGACGACGGGUAGCCGGCCUGAGAGGGCGACCGGCCACACUGGGACUGAGACACGGCCCAGACUCCUACGGGAGGCAGCAGGUGGGGAAUCUUGCGCAAUGGGACGAAAGCCCUGACGCAGCGACGCCGCGUGA
rnacentral:rRNA from 1 species